rnacentral:tRNA from 1 species
GACACUUUGGCCGAGUGGUUAAGGCGCAGGCCUGCUAUCCAUCAGAUUUCUGAGGAGGUCAGCCUGUGGGUUCGCCCGCCUGGGUUCGAGUCCCAGAGGUGUCG